rfam:Eubacterium nodatum ATCC 33099 contig00006, whole genome shotgun sequence.
UACUUUAACUAAUUGAAUAAUAUCUGCUUAACAGGGGGAAGUAAGUGAAAAUCUUACACGGUCACGCCACUGUGAACCUCAAUUUGGAAUAGAAUUUAGGUAUAGUCAGGAUACCGGUUUUGCAGAUGCUGUUUGA